GAAAUGCGAUAAUUAAUGUGAAUUGCAGAAUUCAGUGAAUCAUCGAGUCUUUGAACGCACAUUGCGCCCCCAGGUAUUCCGGGGGGCAUGCCUGUCCGAGCGUCAUUGCUGCCCUCAAGCACGGCUUGUGUGUUGGGCUUCCGUCCCUGGCAACGGGGACGGGCCCAAAAGGCAGUGGCGGCACCAUGUCUGGUCCUCGAGCGUAUGGGGCUUUGUCACCCGCUCCCGUAGGUCCAGCUGGCAGCUAGCCUCGCAACCAAUCUUUUUAACCAGGUUGACCUCGGAUCAGGUAGGGAUACCCGCUGACCUUAAGC
rnacentral:misc_RNA from 1 species